AUAAAGAAAUCGAUGAUUUACCUUAAUCUAUUAAACAUCAGAUAAAAAGAAAGCCACCAUAACGGUGGCUUUUUUA
rnacentral:sRNA from 1 species